rnacentral:rRNA from 1 species
CUUGGUUCUGGCAUCGAUGAAGAACGCAGCGAAAUGCGAUACGUAGUGUGAAUUGCAGAAUUCAGUGAAUCAUCGAAUCUUUGAACGCACAUUGCGCCCUUUGGUAUUCCAAAGGGCAUGCCUGUUCGAGCGUCAUUUGUACCCUCAAGCUUUGC